GAUGAACGCUAGCGGCAGGCCUAACACAUGCAAGUCGAGGGGCAGCAUAAUCUAGCUUGCUAGAUUGAUGGCGACCGGCGCACGGGUGCGUAACGCGUAUACAAUUUACCCUUUACAGGAGGAUAGCCCUAAGAAAUUGGGAUUAAUACUCCAUAACAUUAUGAAUUCGCAUGUUUUCAUAAUUAAAGCUCCGGCGGUAAAGGAUGAGUAUGCGUCCUAUUAGAUAGUUGGUGAGGUAACGGCUCACCAAGUCAGCGAUAGGUAGGGGGUCUGAGAGGAUGAUCCCCCACACUGGUACUGAGACACGGACCAGACUCCUACGGGAGGCAGCAGUGAGGAAUAUUGGUCAAUGGAGGCAACUCUGAACCAGCCAUGCCGCGUGCAGGAAGACGGCCCCUACGGGGUUUGUAAAACUGCCUUUUAUACACCAAGAAACGCGGGUACGUGUACCCGUUUGACGGUAGUGUAUGAAUAAGCACCGG
rnacentral:rRNA from 1 species